GUGGACGUGAUACCUACCCAGAAAGCUGUAAGCAGCAGAGCCGGUGAGAAUUACUCGAAGUCUCAGCAACAGUGCCUUUGUGUUCUAGCGGCCACCUGUGGAGAGAGAGCAGAACGAGAGUGAAUCAUUGAAGAGCCACCUGUGAACGUGAUACCUACCCAGAAAGCUGUAAACAGCGGAGCCGCGGCCACCUGUGGAGAGAGCAGAACGAGAGUGAACCACUGAAGAGCAAACUGUGAACGUGAUACUUACCCAGGGAGCUGUAAGCAGCAGAACCGCAGUGACUAUCUGUGGGGCAUAAGGAGAACGUGGACGGACGUACGACAGGGAACGUAAAGGCACGUGGGGCGAGGACCCCCUGCCGGCCCGAGGAAAGGUACACCGACAGUGGAGAUCUUCCUUACCAGUCACACCAAAACUAUUCUGCCUCCAGGACGGAAGAAGGAGGGCGCCACGGUUAGCAGGGCCCAGGCCGGAGCCUGACGUUUCCCUCUUCCCCCAGCUUAUGGUGGUUGGCACCCUUGCUGCCCUUGGCCUGUCUGCCGUGGCUGCAGUCUCCCUGGAGGGAGAAGAGGCCUAUUAGUUUUAAUUUCCCCUUUCCCCAAAUUCCCCAUUCUUUUAAAUAUUUAACUAAAUAAAGCUUGUUUUAAAUUUUA